UGGGGAAUAUUGCACAAUGGGCGCAAGCCUGAUGCCGCCAUGCCGCGUGUAUGAAGAAGGCCUUCGGGUUGUAAAGUACUUUCAGCGGGGAGGAAGGCGAUAAGGUUAAUAACCUUGUCGAUUGACGUUACCCGCAGAAGAAGCACCGGCUAACUCCGUGCCAGCAGCCGCGGUAAUACGGAGGGUGCAAGCGUUAAUCGGAAUUACUGGGCGUAAAGCGCACGCAGGCGGUCUGUCAAGUCGGAUGUGAAAUCCCCGGGCUCAACCUGGGAACUGCAUUCGAAACUGGCAGGCUAGAGUCUUGUAGAGGGGGGUAGAAUUCCAGGUGUAGCGGUGAAAUGCGUAGAGAUCUGGAGGAAUACCGGUGGCGAAGGCGGCCCCCUGGACAAAGACUGACGCUCAGGUGCGAAAGCGUGGGGAGCAAACA
rnacentral:rRNA from 1 species